AAGACUAUAGACCUGCGGAGUACCUGCGGAAGGAUCAUUACAGAGAUCAUGCCCUCACGGGUAGACCUCCCACCCUGUGUUAUUUACGAUUGUUGCUUUGGCAGGUCGCCUUCGGGCACUCGGCUCUGGCUGAGGUGCACCUGCCAGAGGACCCCCAACUCUGUGUUUAGUGUUGUCUGAGUCUUAUUUAAUACGUUAAAACUUUCAGCAACGGAUCUCU
rnacentral:misc_RNA from 1 species